AAUUAAAUAAUUGAAUUAAUUUUGUGCAAGGAUUAAAAUAUGAAUGCAUAUACACUCGUUAGACGAGCUGUUAUUUUUUAUUUUUUUGAUACAUCGGUUUGAUAACAGACCGAAAUUACGAUAUCAUUAUUUUCAAGUAAUCAAUUCUCGACAAGACAUUGUCUCCGAAGAUGUUAGCUCUUUUCGGGAUUAUUUAUUCUUGAACAUUUUUAGACAAGCACUUGUGUAACAAAAUUUUACAUUUCUGUUUUUU